AUUGCGAGAGAUAUUCUACCUAUGCCGGUGUCAACGGUUGCUUCUGAAUCCGCCUUUAGCACUGGAGGUUGAGUGCUUAAUCAAUAUAGAAGCUCCCUUACCCCAAAAACUGUUGAAGCUUUGAUUUGUGUACAAAAUUGGUUUCGAGCCAAUUCAUUGCCAAUUGACCUUGAGGAGUCUUUUGAAGAAUUUGAAAAACUUGAGAAAGAACUUGAGCCAAUUCUUCAACUAAUAGAUGAAGAAGACUCUGGUGAUGAAUCUGAUUAGUGAUCGGUGCUUCACUUCUCAGCUUGGAAUUUUUUAUGUUAUGUUUUUAUUAAGACUUUGUUAUGUUAUUUAAUUUUAUGUUGUUGAGACUUGUUUAGUUGUUUUUAUGUUGAAGAAUUAUUAUUCAAGACUUGCUGUUGGAUAAUUGGAUUGUUGGAUAUUUGGACA